UACACUCCUACGGGAGGCAGCAGUGGGGAAUAUUGCACAAUGGGCGCAAGCCUGAUGCAGCCAUGCCGCGUGUAUGAAGAAGGCCUUCGGGUUGUAAAGUACUUUCAGCGGGGAGGAAGGCAAUACGGUUAAUAACCGUGUUGAUUGACGUUACCCGCAGAAGAAGCACCGGCUAACUCCGUGCCAGCAGCCGCGGUAAUACGGAGGGUGCAAGCGUUAAUCGGAAUUACUGGGCGUAAAGCGCACGCAGGCGGUCUGUCAAGUCGGAUGUGAAAUCCCCGGGCUCAACCUGGGAACUGCAUUCGAAACUGGCAGGCUUGAGUCUUGUAGAGGGGGGUAGAAUUCCAGGUGUAGCGGUGAAAUGCGUAGAGAUCUGGAGGAAUACCGGUGGCGAAGGCGGCCCCCUGGACAAAGACUGACGCUCAGGUGCGAAAGCGUGGGGAGCAAACAGGAUUAGAUACCCCAGUAGUCCCA
rnacentral:rRNA from 1 species